GCAAAGGGAUCUUGAAUUCCGCCGUUGGCUACGCCUGUCCUCGUCAUCGCUCGGCCGGCGGCGCGUAACAUCCCUCCGCCGCCGCCCAUGGGUCCUCUUCCUCCACCAAACAUAUUAAGACAAUAUAAAUUCGUUUACUUCCGACCAGGUUUCGUACGUUUUCACUCGGUGAUCAGUUUUGUCUUUUGGUCUAACCGAGUCUGAUCAAUAAUAGGAGUAAUGGGUCUGUUGGAUUUUGCUAUUUCUUAGGUUUCUUCCAACAGUGUGAUGGUUUCGAGGAGAUGGAUAAGAUUAAAAAUGCAGGAGUCUUUAAGGAUUUUCAGAAUAUAGUCUGUUUUCUAAGAUUUUAUACUUUAUGACUUUCUUUCUUUGCUUGGUCCUUCUUCUCCACG
rnacentral:lncRNA from 1 species